rnacentral:rRNA from 1 species
UGGCGGACGGGUGAGUAAUGUCUGGGUAACUGCCUGAUGGAGGGGGAUAACUACUGGAAACGGUAGCUAAUACCGCAUAACGUCGCAAGACCAAAGAGGGGGACCUUCGGGCCUCUUGCCAUCGGAUGUGCCCAGAUGGGAUUAGCUAGUAGGUGGGGUAACGGCUCACCUAGGCGACGAUCCCUAGCUGGUCUGAGAGGAUGACCAGCCACACUGGAACUGAGACACGGUCCAGACUCCUACGGGAGGCAGCAUGC